UCCGGUAUGGUGUAUCGGCUAACAUUACCGCUUUUCAUUUGGUGGAUCAUGUGACUCUACGUAAUCUUUGACGCGGUAGCGCGGGGUUCGAUUCCCCGUACCGGAA